CUUCUGCCUCCUGACAGACUCUGGUGCCUCCCUGAGUGGCCCCCUGUGGUGUGGCACGUCCGCUUCUCUUGGCAUCUAUCCCACAAAUAAGUGAGAACAUGCAAUGCUUGUCUUUCGGUGCCUGGCUUAUUUCACUUGACAUAAUGAUCUCCAGUUCCAUCCAUGUUAUCGCAAAUGACAAGAUCUUCUUUUUCAUGGCUGAAUAGUACUCCAUUGUGUCAAGCAAGAACAGACAUUCAAUGAAUGAAUGCAUUUCUUCAAAGCCCACAAUCCAAGUGAAUAGCAGGAUUCAUCUAUUCAUUCAAGAUGUUUCCUGGAUUCCAGCUCCAUGGAAACUUUUGAGGUAUUAAGCAAGCAAAUAAAAUGCUUUAAGUCUUUGGCUGG